rnacentral:rRNA from 1 species
CCCCUAUUCUCAGUUGCCAGCACAUAAUGGUGGGCGACUCUGUGGAGGACUGCCCGGGUUAACCGGGAGGAAGGUGGGGAUGACGUCAAGUCAUCAUGGCCCUUACGCCUAGGGCUACACACGUACUACAAUGGUGGUUACAAAGGGCAGCGAAACCGCGAGGUCGAGCGAAUCUCAAAAAACCCAUCAUAGUCCGGAUUGCAGUCUGCAACUCGACUGCAUGAAGUUGGAAUCGCUAGUAAUCCCGGAUCAGCAUGCCGGGGUGAAUACGUUCCCGGGCCUU